rnacentral:sRNA from 1 species
UAUUUUGAUUUUUUUUCAAUAUAAUAGCUAACUGACGUCAUCAUGUCACGAGGGAGAUUAAAACCUAAUGAUUAUAAAUGCAUUCAAGACAAUUUUAUUUUUUUGAAGAAAGAGUUGGAAGCUAGACACCUUAUUGAUUUUUUAUUUCAACAUGGAGUAAUUUCAUUAGAAGAGAAAGAACACAUUGGGAUAAAAGAAAACAAAGAUGCCAGAAAUGAUUUAUUAUUAACAUUGAUACUCAAUGCUGGACCAGGUGAUGCAUUCAACUAUUUUCUGCUGUCGUUAGAAGAUCGAUACAGACAUGUCUUGACAAAAUUAAAAGGUCAUUCAUAUUCUGUACAACAACAGUUUCAUCAGGAGAAGAACGUGCUGCUAGAAAAAUUAGGUCACUCACAUUCUUUACUACAACAGUUUCAGCAGGAAAAGAACGUGCUUUUAAAUAAAUUAGGUAAUUAUUGUAUAAUUUGAUUUAUUUUUGAUAUUAUA